GAUGAACGCUAGCGGCAGGCCUAACACAUGCAAGUCGAGGGGGAGGUUACUUUCGGGUAACUGAGACCGGCGUACGGGUGCGUAACGCGUAUACAAUCUGCCUUUCACUGGGGGAUAGCCCGAAGAAAUUUGGAUUAAUACCCCAUAGUAUAGUAAUACGGCAUCGUGAUGCUAUUAAAGCUUAGGUGGUGAAAGAUGAGUAUGCGUUCUAUUAGCUAGUUGGAGAGGUAACGGUUCCCCAAGGCGAUGAUAGAUAGGGGUUCUGAGAGGGAUGUCCCCCACACUGGUACUGAGAUACGGACCAGACGCCUACGGGAGGCAGCAGUGAGGAAUAUUAGACAAUGGUCGGAAUACUGAUCCAGCCAUGCCGCGUGCAGGAAGAAGGUCUUAUGGAUUGUAAACUGCUUUUGUAAGGGACGAAUAAGGGCUACGCGUAGUUUGAUGACGGUACCUUACGAAUAAGCAACGGCUAACUCCGUG
rnacentral:rRNA from 1 species